UACGUAGGGUCCGAGCGUUGUCCGGAGUUACUGGGCGUAAAGCGCGCGCAGGUGGUCCAUUAAGCCCGGCGUGAAAGCCCCCGGCUCAACCGGGGAGGGUCGUCGGGGACUGGUGGACUUGAGGGCGGCAGGGGCUGGUGGAAUCCCCGGUGUAGUGGUGAAAUGCGUAGAGAUCGGGGGGAACACCCGUGGCGAAGGCGGCCAGCUGGGACGGUAUUGACGCUGAGACGCGAAAGCGUGGGGAGCGAACAGG
rnacentral:rRNA from 1 species